rnacentral:misc_RNA from 1 species
CCGAGUUAUACAACUCAUCAACCCUGUGAACAUACCUAUAACGUUGCCAUCGGCGGGAACAGACGGCCCCGUAACACGGGCCGCCCCCGCCAGAGGACCCCCUAACUCUGUUUCUAUAAUGUUUCUUCUGAGUAAACAAGCAAAUAAAUUA